GUAUGUGUAUUGUGCUUUGCCUUGAUUCCCAUUUUAGCCUUCUGAGUUGCUUCGUCUCCUCUCCUCUAUUACCAAUUACCACGACCUGAAUACAAGAGACCCCUCCACCCAAUUAAAAAGGCAUACAGCAGAAUAAGUAGGAGAUAUUUCUUUUUAUUCAAAAAUAGAAAACUGGAUUAAAAGGUCCCUUUUUCUUUAUAAAUACGUACCCUUCUCUUCGCCCAUCUUUGCUUCAAUUUUCUGCAUUUCUUCCUGUCCAGAUUUGUGGCAAUAGAAGAGAGAAUAACAAAGGCAGAAAAUUUACCUGCUUCCUCACCAGUGAACAACCAUGGCAUACCCGGAUCAAUCGAUGUCAGUGUCCCCCCAGAGAAAAAUGGGCAGAGGAAAGAUUGAAAUCAAGCGGAUCGAAAACACUACUAAUCGUCAAGUCACCUUCUGUAAGAGGCGCAACGGCUUGCUCAAAAAAGCCUAUGAAUUGUCUGUUCUCUGUGAUGCAGAGGUUGCCCUCAUCGUCUUCUCUAGCCGCGGUCGCCUUUACGAGUAUGCUAACAACAGUGUCAAAUCAACAAUUGACAGGUACAAGAAAGCAUGCGCAGAUUCCUCCAAUACUGGGUCUGUUUCUGAAGCUAAUACUCAGUUCUACCAGCGAGAGGCUGCUACUCUGCGACAACAGAUAAAUAGUGUGCAAGAAUCAAACAGGAAAAUGUUGGGUGAGUCUUUGAGCGGUAUGGCUUUCAAAGAUCUCAAGAGCUUGGAGAGCAAAUUAGAAAGUGGAAUUAGAAGAAUCAGAUCCAAAAAGAAUGAGCUCUUGUUUGCAGAAAUUGAGUAUAUGCAAAAAAGGGAAGUUGACUUGCAUAACAACAACCAGCUUCUUCGUGCAAAGGUUCUUUUUCUCUCACAUAUGCAUAUAUGCGUAUAUAUAACAUGUAAAUGUAUACAAAUACAUAUAUACAUAUAUUGUAUAUUUGCGCGCACACACACACAUAUGAUCCGUACAUAUAGAGCUAGCAUGCACGCGUGCACCCCGGCCAUUUGCAUGCUGGUAAUCGUACGUAGCAAUGAUAAUUAAGCUGUAUGAAGAUUUUUUGGAUGGUGUAGAUAGCCGAGAAUGAGAGGAACCAGCAAAACCUGAACGUGAUGCCAGGAGGGGGGAACUUUGAGCUCAUGCACUCUCAACCAUUUGAUUCUCGAAACUAUUUCCAAGUUGAUGCGUUGCAACCCAAUCAUGAUCAGUACCCGCGCCAAGAUCAGAUGGCCCUUCAAUUAGUUUAAGUGUACGUACGUAUCAAAUGAAAGCUACGUACGGGUAUGUUGUCAGGCACUAAACUAAGGUUAUUACCCUCUCAUGUCGCGGUGAUGGCCGGCUUUGUAAGACAGCGUUAUAAGACUCAUUUAAGUGUGUUAUUAGAGAUUGAUUUAUUUUGUGUGUGUCUAUGCUUGCAGUAAGAACUGAUCUGUAACAGUUGACUAACAUAUAUCCCAUCAUAAUUAGACUGGUUUGGUCUUAAAACUAGUACGUACGUACUCUCUUGAAUUGCCAAAAUAUACAAGUUUGCGUGUGUUUUGUAUUUACA